GUGAGUGUAGCUCAGUGGCAGAGCACUGGACUGUGGCUCCAGCCGUCGGGGGUUCAAAUCCCCUCACUCACCCCG
rnacentral:tRNA from 1 species